rnacentral:lncRNA from 1 species
AUUGAACCCAGGGACACUUAACCACUGAGCCACAUCCCUAGCCCUUUUUAAUAUUUUAUUUAGAGACAGGGCCUCGCUAAGUUUCUGAGGAUGGCUUUGAACUCAUGAUCCUCUUACCUCAGCCUUCUGAGUCACUGGGAUACAGGUGUGUGCCACUGCACCUGGUUCCAGUAACUUUGGUGACAUAAAAACAUCUGCUUGAAUGACCCCUCCCUCCAUGGCAGGCAGUUCUGGGGCCGAGUGACUCCAGCAGCUUGGCUCAGCCCUCACUCUCCGCUCUCUCCAUCCUCCUUCCUACCUCUGUCCCCUGCGGGUCCUGAGUUCAGAGUCUUGGGAAAUCCCAGGUGUCAGUCCUUGGUGACAGGCUCAGAGCAUAGACACCAGUCCCCAUAUCCUCCCAAGCAUGCCAGCCUUGCUCCCCCUUAGAAAGGUUCACACUUGAGACUGGCACUGCUGGGUUCCAAUCCUGGCUCUAUCAGCCAAGUGAUUAGGGACUUUUCCAUAGUUCCCUGAAAGUCUCACUUCAAUUUCCUUAUCUCUAAAACGGGAUGGAAACAAACGAUGGCCUCACAGUGGACUGGAGUGUCAUCCCAUUGAGGCUGACACAGGAGGAUUACAAGUUCAAAGCCAGCACUAGCCUCAGCAACUUAGCAGGACACUGUCUCAACAUUUAAAAAAGGACUGGAAAUGUGGCUAGGUGGUAAAGUCCAUCUGGGUUCAAUCCCUGGUACCAAACAACAACAACAACAACAAAGUUUUCAGAAUGGUCUUACGAACAUGGAGUGAGCUAGCCCUAGCAGCAUGUGUAGCCCUGGAAACUGUAGCUGCAUUUAUUAUUGCUGCCACUGUCACUACAGAAGGGAAACACACACACACACACACACACACACACACAGAAAGAAUUUCCUGAGCCUGGGAUGCAGUUUGGAUGUAGCAGGACCUGGCGUUUUACCCUGCAGUGGAAUGCCCAAUGCUGAUUGAGUCCUGGAACCCAGCAACCCACUGCCCCAAAGGGCACUGCCCACCCUCCAGAUGCGGCAGAUGACAGAGAGCUUGAUUCCCUCUGCCAACCUUAACAUUUCCU